AUUGAACGCUGGCGGCAUGCUUUACACAUGCAAGUCGAACGGUAACAGGCCGCAAGGCGCUGACGAGUGGCGAACGGGUGAGUAAUGCAUCGGAACGUGCCCAGUCGUGGGGGAUAACGCAGCGAAAGCUGCGCUAAUACCGCAUACGAUCUAUGGAUGAAAGCGGGGGACCGUAAGGCCUCGCGCGAUUGGAGCGGCCGAUGUCAGAUUAGGUAGUUGGUGGGAUAAAGGCUCACCAAGCCAACGAUCUGUAGCAGGUCUGAGAGAACGACCAGCCACACUGGGACUGAGACACAGCCCAGAUUGCUUCGGGAGGCAGCAGUGGGGAAUGUUGGACAAUGGGCGCAAGCCUGAUCCAGCAAUGCCUCGUGCAGGAAGUUGGCCUACGGGUUGUAAACUGCUUUUGUACGGAACGAAACGGUCCUGGUUAAUACCUGGGGCUAAUGACGGUACCGUAAGAAUAAGCACCGGCUAACUACGUGCCAGCCGCCGCAGUAAUAC
rnacentral:rRNA from 1 species